rnacentral:rRNA from 1 species
GACGAAGGAUGCAAGCGUUAUCCGGAUUCAUUGGGUUUAAAGGGAGCGUAGGUGGCCUUAUAGGUCAGUGCUGAAAUAUCCCGGCUUAACCGGGAGGGUGGCAUUGAUACUGUAGGACUUGAGUAAAGUUGAGGUUGGCGGAAUUGACGGUGUAGCGGUGAAAUGCUUAGAUAUCGUCAAGAACACCUAUAGCGAAGGCAGCUAACUAAACUUUAACUGACGCUGAGGCACGAAAGUGUGGGGAUCAAACAGG